UUAAGUUAUUAAGGGCGCACGGUGGAUGCCUUGGCACUAGAAGCCGAUGAAGGACGUUACUAACGACGAUAUGCUUUGGGGAGCUGUAAGUAAGCUUUGAUCCAGAGAUUUCCGAAUGGGGAAACCCAGCAUGAGUUAUGUCAUGUUAUCGAUAUGUGAAUACAUAGCAUAUCAGAAGGCACACCCGGAGAACUGAAACAUCUUAGUACCCGGAGGAAGAGAAAGAAAAUUCGAUUCCCUUAGUAGCGGCGAGCGAAACGGGAAGAGCCCAAACCAACAAGCUUGCUUGUUGGGGUUGUAGGACACUCUAUACGGAGUUACAAAGGACGACAUUAGACGAAUCAUCUGGAAAGAUGAAUCAAAGAAGGUAAUAAUCCUGUAGUCGAAAAUGUUGUCUCUCUUGAGUGGAUCCUGAGUACGACGGAGCACGUGAAAUUCCGUCGGAAUCUGGGAGGACCAUCUCCUAAGGCUAAAUACUCUCUAGUGACCGAUAGUGAACCAGUACCGUGAGGGAAAGGUGAAAAGCACCCCGGAAGGGGAGUGAAAUAGAACCUGAAACCGUGUGCUUACAAGUAGUCAGAGCCCGUUAAUGGGUGAUGGCGUGCCUUUUGUAGAAUGAACCGGCGAGUUACGAUUUGAUGCAAGGUUAAGCAGUAAAUGUGGAGCCGUAGCGAAAGCGAGUCUGAAUAGGGCGUUUAGUAUUUGGUCGUAGACCCGAAACCAGGUGAUCUACCCUUGGUCAGGUUGAAGUUCAGGUAACACUGAAUGGAGGACCGAACCGACUUACGUUGAAAAGUGAGCGGAUGAACUGAGGGUAGCGGAGAAAUUCCAAUCGAACCUGGAGAUAGCUGGUUCUCUCCGAAAUAGCUUUAGGGCUAGCCUCAAGUGAUGAUUAUUGGAGGUAGAGCACUGUUUGGACGAGGGGCCCCUCUCGGGUUACCGAAUUCAGACAAACUCCGAAUGCCAAUUAAUUUAACUUGGGAGUCAGAACAUGGGUGAUAAGGUCCGUGUUCGAAAGGGAAACAGCCCAGACCACCAGCUAAGGUCCCAAAAUAUAUGUUAAGUGGAAAAGGAUGUGGCGUUGCCCAGACAACUAGGAUGUUGGCUUAGAAGCAGCCAUCAUUUAAAGAGUGCGUAAUAGCUCACUAGUCGAGUGACACUGCGCCGAAAAUGUACCGGGGCUAAACAUAUUACCGAAGCUGUGGAUUGUCCUUUGGACAAUGGUAGGAGAGCGUUCUAAGGGCGUUGAAGCAUGAUCGUAAGGACAUGUGGAGCGCUUAGAAGUGAGAAUGCCGGUGUGAGUAGCGAAAGACGGGUGAGAAUCCCGUCCACCGAUUGACUAAGGUUUCCAGAGGAAGGCUCGUCCGCUCUGGGUUAGUCGGGUCCUAAGCUGAGGCCGACAGGCGUAGGCGAUGGAUAACAGGUUGAUAUUCCUGUACCACCUAUAAUCGUUUUAAUCGAUGGGGGGACGCAGUAGGAUAGGCGAAGCGUGCGAUUGGAUUGCACGUCUAAGCAGUAAGGCUGAGUAUUAGGCAAAUCCGGUACUCGUUAAGGCUGAGCUGUGAUGGGGAGAAGACAUUGUGUCUUCGAGUCGUUGAUUUCACACUGCCGAGAAAAGCCUCUAGAUAGAAAAUAGGUGCCCGUACCGCAAACCGACACAGGUAGUCAAGAUGAGAAUUCUAAGGUGAGCGAGCGAACUCUCGUUAAGGAACUCGGCAAAAUGACCCCGUAACUUCGGGAGAAGGGGUGCUCUUUAGGGUUAACGCCCAGAAGAGCCGCAGUGAAUAGGCCCAAGCGACUGUUUAUCAAAAACACAGGUCUCUGCUAAACCGUAAGGUGAUGUAUAGGGGCUGACGCCUGCCCGGUGCUGGAAGGUUAAGAGGAGUGGUUAGCUUCUGCGAAGCUACGAAUCGAAGCCCCAGUAAACGGCGGCCGUAACUAUAACGGUCCUAAGGUAGCGAAAUUCCUUGUCGGGUAAGUUCCGACCCGCACGAAAGGCGUAACGAUUUGGGCACUGUCUCAACGAGAGACUCGGUGAAAUCAUAGU
rnacentral:rRNA from 1 species